rnacentral:rRNA from 7 species
UUAGAGUCUCCUGAAGGAACGUUGAAGACGACGACGUUGAUAGGCCGGGUGUGUAAGCGCAGCGAUGCGUUGAGCUAACCGGUACUAAUGAACCGUGAGGCUUAACCUUACAACGCCGAAG